GGGGAGGGAGGAGAGGGAGAAAAAGGGAUGCAAGUUGGGAAAGAAGAAGAGAGGAAAGCUUUCGAAAUGGCUCACCUUCCGGGCUCUCUCGGGGUUUGCAAACGGCGGCUGGAGGAGAAAAUCCACGGGAGAAAGAUGCGAUCAAAGGGUCCCCAAAAUCAAAAAGGAGGGAAGGAAACAAAACGAGAUGAUGCAUUUAUAUUCCGCCCUUCUCGCCCCAAAGGAGGCUCAGGGAGGACCACAGAACGUAUACACGGAAAACAUUCAAUGCCAUUAGACAUUCUGGACAAACAACAGAUAGAGCCUAAGGAAGAGAGGAAGGAGAAGCCAAAGGGAGAGAAAAGAAGCCGAAGCGGCAACGGAAGGAGAAGGAGGCAAUUUAUCAACACAUGAUUGGCUCAUAAAGACUUAAAAUAGUGCAUAACUAC